UUCUAUCGAGCGUCCAAUAGUGUGAUGGUGGAUUGAGUACCAGAGGAAGAAUUUGCUUCCAUCAUAUUCCUAUCAAUGAAGAAACAAGGCUCAUUGGGUCGAGGUAGUGUACCCUCACUACCUAACAUUAGAGCCACAGAAUGCAUGCUUGGUCAAUCAUCUGGGAAAUGUUGCACACAUAGCAAACCCAAAUUGAUUAAACGUAGCACUUCAGAUAGGAUGCAUGAGUUCCCCAUUGAUGCAUCAAUAAAUUCUAAAGACCUAUCUUCCAUAAAGAGUGUCCACGCCUAGACAAUUUAAAGGAUGAUCAACAAUACUUAUAUAUAUUGAAAUAAAGAAAUAUUACCUAAUACUUACAUGCCCAAGAAGACUAAGGUCGUGGUUUGGGUGGUUAAAUCCUCUAUUUCUCUUCCCACUUACAAUCUCUAGAACCAAAACACCAAAGCUAAAAACAUCAGAUUUUGUGGAAUACAAUCCUUCACUUGCAUAUUUUGGAGACAUAUAACCUCUAUAGGAAACCGUUGAAGAAGGGGUUAAAUUCACAAGAAAUGGAGAUAAAGAAUUUUUACAUAUCACUAAAUAUACUUACUAUGUUCCAACCACCCUUUUUGUAUUUGCUUCAAUUUCAUUUCUUCCAAAACUUCUAGCCAUACCAAAAUCUGAAAUUUUUGGAGUCAUCUCCUCAUCUUGCAAAAUAUGGCUUGCUUUAAGACAAUGAACAUCAACAUGAAUGUCUUCUAUCGACCAUCUAACAUUGUAAUGGUGACCCCAUUGCCUGAAGAUGGCCCCUGAUUGCCUGAGGAGGACUUUGCUUCCCUUCCAGUGAAAAAACCAGGCUCUUUAGGCUGAGGAAGUGCACCGUCGCUACUCAACAUCAGAACCACCGAAUACAUGCUUGGUCUAUCAUCUAGACUACACUGUACGCAUAAGAGUCCCACAUUGAUCGAACGUAACACUUGUGAUAGAUCAUGCAUGUCCCCAACUGAUGUAUCAAUCAGCUCCAUAGACCUGCCUUCCAUGUACAAUGUCCAUGCCUAGAAAAUUCAAAAUUAUGUCAGCAGUAGAUUUAUCAUAGUGAAAUGAGGUCAAUACUACUCGAUACUUACAUGCCCAAGAAGGUUAAAGGAGUGGUCUGGGUGAGAAAAUCCUCUGUUUCUCUUCCCACUCACAAUCUCUAGCACCAAAACACCAAAGCUAAAAACAUCCGACUUUGUUGAGUAUAGUCCAUCAAUUGCAUAUUCUGGAGACAUAUAACCACUAUAGGGAACCAUUGAACAAAAAAAACAGGAAUUUACAACCAAUAUAAAGAAGAAUACUAAACAAAAUUACUAAAUAUACUUACUAUGUUCCAACCACUCUUUUUGUAUUUGCUUCAGUUUCGUUUCCUCUAAAACUUCUAGCCAUACCAAAAUCUGAAAUUUUUGGAGUCAUCUCCUCAUCUAGCAAAAUAUUGUCUGCUUUUAGAUCUCUAUGGAUUAUCCUGAGUCUGGAAUCUUGAUGAAGAUAAAGAAGGCCUCGAGCAAUCCCAUUGAUAAUGAGGAAGCGCUUAGGCCAAUCUAGUACCACGCUUUGCAUUUGAUCUGUCCAUUUUUUAUCAUUCAAGUUAACCCAUUCUACUACUUGGAUUAUUGAAAAUAAAUGAAAAAUAUUUCAAGAAACAAAUGAUUUCAAGUUCCCUAAGAAUUGUUCAAAGUAAUGACAUAUAAAAACGAAAGUAUAAUUGAAACUCAUUCUCAGUGAUGAAAAAACACUGUCAAGGAUGGAAAAUGGAUCUUAGUGGUAGGGUUCCAAACCCCUAACUUUUUAUAUAAGAGCCAAAAUGUUAGAGAAAAUAGAAGUAAGAAAGAUUUUCUAGAUUAAUGCAUCUAUGCUUUAUCUAGUUCCCAAUAAUUUUUCUUUCAAAUUAGUUAAAUGCAUUGUAAAUAAAGAAUUUCCCCAGCAUGCAUAGGAGAGGAGAAAGAAAAGAGAAGUCACUUGACUAGACAAACAAACUAUAUAAUGGUUUUAGAGAGCCAAACCAAAAAUGAACAAGUCCAAGCUUUUGUUGGGCAUGUAUUCAUAAAUUAGCAUUCUUUCUCUGCCAUGAAUGCAGCAUCCAAGAAGCUUUACAAGAUUUCGGUGUUGAAGUUUUGCAAUGGAUUCAACUUCAUUUUUGAACUCUUUUAAUCCUUGUCUAGAAGUUUUUGACAUCAUCUUCACUGCAAUUUCUUGUCCCUCUUGCAAUAUUCCCUGAAAACAUCACAUUCUUUUCAUUAUGAAAGCUUUGUAAAUUAAAUGAAACUUGUUGAUAUUCAAUAUGAGGAGUCCUAUAGAAACUAGAGACACAAAAAUGUUGGCACAUACACUGCCUUCAAGACUUUAAGGCAUAUAGUGGCCUUGAUACAUGUUGCUUCAUUUAGAUAUAUACUAUGAGGAUUAGGGACAUCAACUACUUCGCAAGAUGCUUAGUUGUGUAUUUAUAAUGUUUUAUUAACUUGUAACUUGUCUUCUACGUAAAAGCCAAAGUAUAACCUUACCUUAUAGACAGGUCCAAAACCACCCUCUCCAAGCUUAUUGUAACUAGAAAAGUUAUUGGUGGCAUUCAAUAAUGUAUCCAAGUCAAAUAAUGGUAACUCUAAAUGCGCUUGGCCUUCAUUAUUUUCAUCUCUUGAAUUAUGAUCCAUGUAUCCUGCAAAAUGGUGAAUAGAAUAAACGAUUAAAGAAUUGACAAACCUAAAAUUUAGCCCAUUUCCAAGUCUACAUCAUUUCAUUAUUUCUAAAAUCAAGUCGAGUCAAUCCAUUGCUUCUUUUUUUUUAUUAUUAUUAUUACAUAAUCAGACAAUAUGUAGAAGUACUUUUUACUAAUACAUAUGGUGAUACAAGCACUAUGAUUUGUUACUUACCUUUUCUCUUUAGUUGCUUCUUCCUUUUCUUGAGCACAUACAAGGUCAGGACUAGACUUAAAAGAACUAUUCCUGUAAUUGAUAUAAAGAUGAUAAUGACAUGCUUUUUCUUCUUCUUGGAGCUGCUUUUUAUGCUUGAAGAAGCUUCUUGACACAAAAGGAAAGAAAUUAAGCAGGAAAGUCAGGAAAUAAAAUAGAAAAACCAUAAAUUCCUAUGAGUAGUAACCGUUGAUCCAAAAUAUAUUUGUGGUUUACAACCAUGAAAGCAGGAGUUCAGGAACUGCAGUUGCCAUAGGGUUGGAGGGCACAAAUCAAUUGGUGUAUUGGUGUGUUAUAGCAUCUAGCUUACUAUAAUUGAAAUCUAAAAGAAAAAUAUUCCAAAUUUUGAGUAGACCUCAGCUUUACACUCUAAUCCACAGAAAAUAAGUAUACUAUUCCAUGAAAUAAUGUGCUUGGUAGUUGGUCUCAAAAUUUUCACAUCAGCAAUAAUUGAGACAGCUUUAAGUCGCAAAAUCAAGGGAUAAAACUAGAGGCAAGUAUGCAAAGUGAACAACUGAUUAAAAACCUUUGAAUAAAUAUACCAUGAAAUUUGUAUCAGAUUGAUGUUUCUCAGGCAAGAAAAAGAGAAGUUCAUACCUAAUUCUGAUGCAGCCAUUCUUGCCCGUUUUGAGUGAAGUCUCUGAUAUCAAUCAAGUCACCAAACCAGAGCAAGCAUCCACUUCCUCCUCCUCUGAUGUCCGAAUUUGCAUAAGCAGUGCAAGAGCAGUUCCUCAAGCACAGGGAAGCACAUUCCUUACGGUUCAUGCUUUCAUUAAACCAGGAGUUCCGCGUGUCUGGCAGUUUCACACCAGAGUACUUUACAAAUCCAUCACCCUUCUGACAAUCCAGCCGAGUGCUUCGAAUGCAUCCAUUUGACCAGUCUGCCAUGUCCCAAUUGCUUUGGAACUUUGGCCUAAAUCCCUUCAUGCACUCACAUUUUGGAGAUUCAUCAAUCUUACAGAUUCCAUAUACCCCACAUAUUGCAUAAUCGUCACAGUCAUCCCUCUGUGCAGUUGAAUAAGGAGUCCAUUCAUUUUUUUUGAUCAGUAUAUGUGAACCGCUGAGCUUUACCAUCAGGAGUUAACACAAGCCUCAUAAUAACAGAGCUGUUAACUAGAGAAUAAAUAAAAUAUAUCUCCUUUUCAUUAGAAACAAAAUGAAAUGUAUAAACUGAGUUGUUUGUUAAUUGAGGUAUUCCACUAAAUCGAACACCAUCCCAUGGUCCAGCACGAAACUCUACAGCUAAACCAUUCCUCAAUAAUAGUUGUGGAAAUCCACUUAGAUCAAUCCCAUAAGUAAAAUUACCUUUAGAAGGGUCAUCAGCACUCUUCCACGAUGACAGGUACCGAUCCAGGCCUGUUACUCUAUUCCUUCCAAGCUUCAUGCCCGGAAGAAGAGUAUCGCAUGGGUAAUCAAAACUCUGCCAUAGGAAGUUUUCUGGAUCACCAUCAUUACCAUUUCUCAUAACAAGAUUUCCAGAUUCCAAAAGCUGAGCGUUUGGAUCCUGUGCAGAACGUGAUGAACUAGAAUUCCAAAGAAUUCCAUUAGUAUCGUUGACCAGAACAAGAGUUCCCUGCUGAGUGACCUUUAAAACUCCUGAUGAAUCAGUUAGUGGACUUUCUCUAUUGGCAACCCAUACCACUGUCCGAGGAGCCACUUUCUUGUACCAUAUCCCCAAGUAUCGAUUCUUGGAAUUACCUGGACUGAAGAAACCCAAUUCGAAGGUCCCGCCCGCUGAAGUGAUGGUUUCACCAGCUCUAAUGUGUUGAUUUAUAGUUAUGGUGUCUACUGCAGUGGAGAUUCUUAAGAGGGAGAAUACAUAGGAGAAGAUGAACACAACUGUUGUAAGAGCAUCCAUAGGUGUUCCUAGAUAUAAAAAAAAGCCUAAGAUUUUAGGUGCUUUCCAAGUCUCCGUAUAUUUUUCCUCGCCCCCAAAGAUAUGGCGUCGUAUUCGACUCGUAUGCGUAGAGAAGAACAUCACUUCCACAUAGAUGCCUAUCCGUAGCAUGCAUCCAGUGGUCAUCAUUUCUCCUUCAUCCAAAUUCGAUUUUUUCUAGACCAUUUAAAAUGUAGGUAUUAUUUUAUCCCUUAAAUCAAAUAUCCCAGCACGACCGAUCUCACCUUUAGAAGAACUACAAGUAGAAGUGAAGAAGACCAAUAUCAGAAUGACUGUUGGAUUUUUUGCAAGUGUAAGAUAGUUUAAAAGAAUUAUUCGGAAACAAUAGUAGGAAAGAAUAUUUUCAAAUCUACCCUAAUUUUUAUCCAAGCAUGAAAAAUAGAAAUUAGAUAUGAAGUACAUAUAAUCUCCUAAUAGACAUUUUAAAAAAUUCUUUAAAAACAAAAUGUAUAGGUUAAAAUCGUCCAUUGAAUAAACGAUUUUUUUAUUAUUAUUAUUAUUUUGUUCAAAAAUUUCAUUUCUUGCGGUGACGGUUUCUAAAAAUUCUUUUAAAAAAAAAAAAAAAAAAGUCUAAAUUUGUUUCUUGAAAAGAUGAUUUUUUUUUUUUUUUAAGGAAAUUUUAAGGUUUCUUUAAAAAAAAAUGAAAUAAGGGGAGUUCUUAUUUUUAAUAACAUUUUAAUUAAUAAUAUAUUUUCAUAAUAAAAUUAUUAUAAAUAUAUGUAUUGUAAAAUUAAUUAAUUUUGUGUUUAUUAAAUUUGAUAUAUUGUUUAUAAUUAUAAUAUUUAUAAAACUAUAAAUUAUAUUUAGUAUAUGAUAUUAACAAAAAUAUUAAUUUAUAUUAAGUUAGAUAUCAAUAAAAAAAUAUUUUGGUCUUUAUCACCAAUUUUAUCUCUAAAUUAAUUUAAUUAACUAUAACAACAAAUAAAAACAAGUUUAAUUGUAUAUUAUUUUUUAUAAUAUAAAUAAUAAAUAUUUUAAUUUUAAAACUUUAUCUAUUACUUUCUUGUUCCUUUAAAUUUCGUCUUAAAAACAAAAAUCUAUUAUCAAUUUAAUUUAUUUGAGUUUUUAAAAAAUAAAUUAAUCACCGAUUUCCUUUUUUAGUUUAUUAAAUUUUUUUUUACAACAUGAAUAAUUUUUCUUUGUUUUAAUUUUUAAAUUAAUUUUAUUAAAUAAACUUUAAAAUUAAAAAUAUUAUUUUUUUAAUUUAAAAUUUAACUAUAAGAAAUAUAGAAAAUAAAUUAAUUUUAAAUUGAUUGAUAAUCAAAAAAUUAUUUGUUUCAUUUUAAAUUGAUUAAUAUUCAAAAAAUUAUAUCUCUUAAUAUUGAAAUUUUUAUUCAAAAUUAAUUUACUUUUUUAUAUUUUAUUCCUUUUACGAUUAAAUUUUAAAUUAAAGAAUAAUAUUUCUAAUUUUAAAACUUAUCUAAUAAAAUUAAUCUACAAAUUAAAGUGAAAUAAAAUUAUUGAUUUUGUAAAAAUAAAAUAAAUAAAUUCACUAAACUUAAAAAAAGAAAUUGAUAAUAACUUUUUUUAUAAACUCAAUUUUUACAUAAAAUUGAUAAUAGUUUUUUUUUAAAUUGGAAAGUGAAAAGAACAAAACGUAAUAGAUAAUAUUUUAAAAUUAAAAUAUUUAUUAUUUAUCUUAUAACUAAAAAGUAAUAUAAAACUAAAUUAGUUUCUAUUUAUAAUUAUAAUUAAUUAAAUUAAUUUAAAGAUAAAAUUGGAGAUAAAGACCGAAAUAUUUGUUAAUAUCAAAUACUAAACAUAAUUUAUACUUUUAUAAAUGCUAUUAUUGAUAAAUAAUAUAUCCCAAUAAUUAUAAUUAUUUUUAUAUAUUAAAUUUAGCAAGAUAAAAUUAAUUAAUAUUAUAAUACAUAUAUUUAUAAUAAUUAUAUUAUUGCAUAAAUGCUACUUGUUUUCUUAUUUUUAAUUAAUAAUACAAAGCUACGUCACUUAAAAAUUGAGAUGAAGACGAAAAUAUUUUUUUAAUCAAUAUAAAAUGAUAAAUAUAAUUUAUACUUUUAUAAAUAUUAUAACUAUAAAUAAUAUAUCAAUAAUAAUAAAUAUAAAAUUAAUUAAUUUUACCAUACAUAUAUUUACAAUAAUUUUAUUAUUAAAAUAUAUUAUUAGUUAAAAUGUUUCUAAAAAUAAUAAAACAUGGAAAAAAUUAAUUUUUUGAAAUCGAAAGAGACGAUUUCUUCCCUUAAUUUUUUAUUUUUUUUUAAGAAAUCGUCUUUUAUUCUUUUCUUUCUUUUAGACAAUAAUUUUUUAAAGUAAAUAAAUAAAUAGAAAUCAUCUUUUGAAGAGACGAUUUUAACCUAUAAUUUUUUUAGAGAUCAUCUCUUCAAUAGAUAAUUUUUACAUUUUUUUUUAAAGAAAAUAAAUUGUAUUUUCAAGAGACGAUUUUUACUUUCCUAUCCAAUCUCUCUUUUUUAAUCGACAAAAACUACAAUAGAUUUGAAAAUAUUUUUUCCACUAAGUUAGUUUAUGAAUUAUUUUUUUAAACUAUCGUAUGCUUAUCAAAAAUCCCUUUCCUAGCCAAAGUUUACAGGACAAGUCAGUCACAACUCACAGCCACAGGUAGGAUUGAAAAUAAAAAUGCAUGCAAGGAAAAAUGAGGAGUAGCUUUCAUGACUUGUCGAGAUGUGCUAUGAUAGCUUACCUUUGAACUGACUAACUGGCCCAAAAGACAUGCUUGGCUAUUGUUAUUUAGAUUCUCUAAUUUGUUUUCCAACUUUGGAACUAUCCUCACGCGACCUGGUGCCUAGGCUUGAGCCUACGCGACGCCCAGAGUGGCCUUCCUCAAGCACCUUAAGGCUUGGACCUGAGUUCGAAUCCUGGGAAGACCACUCUGGGCGCCGCGUAGGCUCAAGCCUAGGCACCAAGGUCAAAUAAACAAAUGACGUCCCAACAAUAGCUACCUUAGAUAUUGAAAUCAAGCUUUGAGCAGAGUCGUUAGAACUACAAGGAUCACAGCUCACACACUGAUCAUAAUCAUAGCAUCAUUAUUUUUUUGGAAUUGAAGUGUUUUGGGGUUCCACAAGACACGAACAUGGAACAAAAGCCAAAAGUUGCUCUACUUUAGCAAUUAUGGGCCUACAGCUAUCCAGUUCUACUGGGCCUAUGUUGAACAAUGAGAAGUUGUAUCAAAACACCGUAGGGGCAUUAUGAUAUGUCACAAUUACUUGACUAGAAAUAUCUUACAUUGUAAAUAAAUUAAGGUGGUAUUUGUUCUUUUACUUAAUUCUAAAUACAACCUUAAUGUUUAAUAGUGUUAAAUAUUAGGUUAUUUGUUUUUGAAGUAUUUUAUUUCUAUUAAGUAUUACAAAGUAAAUAUAUAAAGGAAAAGAGAGAAAGAAGAAACAGAGGUGAGUUGUAUUUCUCUCAUGUCGUGAUGUUAUCUCCUAUGUUCUGCCCUGUUUUGCACUCUCAACAUCUUAUCUCCUGUGCUAAACAUGCCCAGAUUCAAGAGGCAUGUUCUUCCAUGCAUUAUACAACAUAUUAACUGUAAUCGAAAGAUAAAGCAACAAAAUGUUGAAGUUUUAUGUGGACCAGUGCUACACUUCAGAUAAUAGGUGCUUUAUAUAAGAGAAACUGUUUCCCUCCUUGAAGUUUUAUGUCAAAUUUACUUUUCUUAUUAAGGCACCUAAUUCUGAUGCAGCCAUCCUUAUAUAAAGCUCUUGCCCAUUUUCAGCUAUAUCUACCAAAUCAAAUCAGUAGACCAGGUCAAACAUCCACUUGUUUAUAUCUGAAUCAGCAUAAGGAGUAUAAGUGCAGAUGUUUGAGCCCCACCCAACACCCUUGAGGUUCAUACUUGAUUAAACCAGGAGUUCUGCCUGUCUGGGAGUUUCAUACCGGAUUACUUUACAACCUGUCACUUAUCUGAUGAUUAGGUGGAGCAGUCCUUCCAUUCACUCACAUUUUGAAAGGCCUUGUGACAACUGAGCUAUUAGCAAGCUCAUGAGUGGAUACAACUCACUAAAAACACCAUUCCAUUGUUAAGAGCACAAUAUCAUAGCUGAGCGAUUCCUCAGAAUUAGUUGUGGAAAGCCAUUCAGAUCAAGCCAAUAUGUGAAAUCCCCUAUAGAAGGGUCAUCUGUGCAAUUCUACGAUGAUAGGAACCCAUCCAGACCUGUGACUGUGUUUCUUCCAAAUAUAAUGCCUUGCAGCAGAGUAUUGCGUGGAUAAUCGUAACUCUGCCAUGGGAAGUUGUCUGGAUAACUGUCAUCUCCAAUUUUCAUGACAAUAUUUUCAAAUUCCAAAAGCUGAGCAUUUGGACUUUCUGCAUGAAUGGAUUAUAAUACGAUGCUAUUAGCAACACUGGGAAUGGGGAAUUUUCCUGGUCCAUGACCUUUAAAAUUCCCGAUGAAUUGCUGAGUGGGAAUUAUACCAGUCUCCAUAGACACUUUCCUGUAUCAUAUCCCAAAGUCUGAAUUUGUAGAAUCAUCUAGGCUGACAAACCCCAGUAUAAAGCUGCCAACAGCUCCAAUGCUUACCUCACUAUCUAUAAAGUGCUUAUUUACUGUUGACUUACAUAGAACAAGACAAUUUUAGUUGGUUGGCCAUGAUUGAUCAAUCAUUUUCCCUGAAUAUAUAUUCUAGCAUUAAGUGGCAUAUAUUCCCUUCAUAUAAAUAACAAAAUCAAUCCCAAUUUGCAGCAAGAAUCUAUGUAAAUCUCACAUGUCAGCCCCAUAAAAUAAUUAAGCACAUUAGUUAUUUGUUUUCGGUUUCACUAUGAUUUCUGUGAAUUGUUUAUAUACAUAACCUCUUGUUCUUGAUGCUAAAAGGUUAAAAGGUCAUAUUUUUCUUUUUAGUUUUUUUACUUUUUCGAACAUGUUAAAAUGGAAAUCUCAUUAAUGAUUCCAGAGAGAAACCAAAACCCUUUUUAGAAGAAAUGAAAUAUCAACAAAAGACCAAAAACAGAGUCAAGGUUUCCCCAACAUGGUGCAAGUAAUUAGUACUUUUGAAAAGAACAACUUUCUUAUAUGGACAACUUCUAUUAUGGAACUUAUACCAUGAAUAACUAUCAUCAUCCAGACAAAAAGCAAUGACAAAGAUUUAUCACCUCAUAACAUCUUAGAUGAGUCUUUUGUUAGGAGCUAAGUAGUGUGAUUGUGAAAAGUUGCCAAAAGUAGUCGAAAGUUUAGCUUAUAUGGUCACAGGUCCAAAGACAACAAAACAACAACAAGAAGCAUCUUCUAUCGAGCUUCCAACACCGUGAUGGUGGGUUGAAUACUAGACGAAGAAUUUGCUUCCAUCAUAUUCUUAUCAGUGAAGAAACAAGGCUCUUUGGGCUGAGGUAAUGCACCCUCACUACUCAACAUCAAAACCACAUAAUGCAUGUUUGGUCGAUCCUCUGGGAAACGUUGUACACAUAAUAGACCCAAAUUGAUUGAGCGUAGCACUUCAGAUAGAUUGCAGGUGUUCCCCAUUGAUGCAUCAAUAAAUUCUGAAGACCUAUCUUCUAUAAAGAGUGCCCAUGCCUAGACAGUUUAAAGGAGGAUCAGCACUAUUUUUAAAUAUUGAAAUAAGGAAAUAUUACCUAAUACUUACAUGCCCAAGAAGAUUAAGGUCAUGGUCUGGGUUGUUAAAUCCUCUAUUUCUCUUCCCACUUAUAAUCUCUAGAACCAAAACACCAAAGCUAAAGACAUCGGAUUUUGUGGAAUACAAUCCUUCACUUGCAUACUCUGGAGACAUAUAACCUCUACAAGAAACCGUUGAAAAAAAAGGGUUAAAUUUACAAGCAAUGGAGAUAAAGACUUUAUACAUAUCACUAAAUAUACUUACAAUGUUCCAACCACUCUUGUUGUGUUUGCUUCAGUUUCAUUUCCUCCAAAAAUUCUUGCUAUUCCAAAGUCUGAAAUUUUGGGUGUCAUUUCAUUAUCUAGUAAAAUGUUUUCUGCUUUGAGAUCUCUAUGGAUUAUCCUGAGUCUAGAAUCUUGAUGAAGGUAAAGCAAGCCUCGAGCAAUCCCAUUGAUAAUGAGGAAGCGCCUAGGCCAAUCUAGUACUCCACUUCGCAUCUGAUCUGCCCAUUUUUUUAUCAUUCAAGUUAACUCAUUGUACUACAUGGAUUAUUGAAAAUAAAUGGGAAAUAUUUCAAGAAACAAAUUAUUACAAAUUCCAUGAGAGUUGUUCAUAGCAAUGACACAUAAAAAUAAAAAGUGAGUAUACUUGAAACUCAUUUUCAAUGAUUAAAGAACACUAUCAAGGAGACAGAAAUGGAUCAUAAUGGAUCUUAAUGGUAGGGUUCCAAACCCCUAGCUUUUCAAAUAAGAGUCAAAAUGUUAGAGAAAAUGGAAAUACAAAAGAUUUUCUAGAUAAAUGCAUCUAUGCUUUAUCUUGUUCCCAGGAAUUUUCUUUGCAAUCGGUUAAAUGCAUUGUAAAUAAAGAAUUUCCCAAGCAUGGAUAGGAGAUGAGAAAGAAAAGAGAAGUCACUCGACUAGACAAACAAACUAUAUAGUGGUUUUAUAGAGACAAACCAAAAAUGAAACGGUCCAAGCUUUUGUUGGGCAUGUAUUCAUAGAUCAGCAUCCUUUCUCGACCUUGAAUGCAACAUCCAAGAAGCUUUACAAGAUUUCGAUGUUGAAGUUUUGCAAUGGAUUCAACUUCAUUUUUGAACUCUUUUAAUCCUUGUCUAGAAGUUUUUGACAGCAUCUUCACUGCUAUUUCUUGUCCUUCUUGCAAUAUUCCCUGAAAAUAUCAUUCUUUUUUAUUUUGAAAGCUUUACAAAUUAGAUGAAACUUCUCAAUAUUUAAAAUGAGGAGUCCUAAACAAACUAGUGACUCAAAAAUAUUGACACAUAUACUGGCUACAAGACAUUACAACAUAUAGCGGCCUUGAUACUUGUUGCUUCAUGUAGAUUCUAUGAGGAUUGGGAACAUUAACUACUUCUCAAGAUGCUUAGUUGUAUCUCUGUUGUGUGUUAUUAAAUUGUAAGUUGUCUUCUGCUAAAAAAGUAGAGUAUACCCUUACCUUAUACACAGGUCCAAAACCACCCUCUCCAAGCUUAUUAUCUCUAGAAAAGUUAUUAGUGGCAUUCAAUAAUAUAUCCAAGUCAAAUAAUGGUAACUCUAGAUGCUCAUGGCCUUCAUCUCCUAAAUUGUGUUCCAUGUAUCCUACAAAAUGGAAAAAGGAAUGAAGAAUUAAAAGGAUGCAUGAAUCAUAUAGACAAAAAAACUUGAACUUAACCCAUUUCAAAGCCUACAUCAUUUCAUCAUUUAUCAAACCAAGCCAGGUCAAUCCCUUGCUCCUUUUUUGAUUAAUACAUAAUCAAACGUGUGGAAGUACUUUAUAGAGAUACAAGCACUAUGAUUUGUUACUUACUUUUUCUCUUUAGCUGCUUCUUCCUCUUCUUCAGCAUAUACAAGGUCAGGACUAGACUUAAAAGAACUAUUCCAGUAAUUGAUAUAGAGAUGACAAUGACCUGCUUUUGCUUCUUCUUGGAGCUGCUAUUUGUGCUUGAAAAAGCAUCUUGACACAGAUGGAAAGAAAUUAAGCAAGAAAGCCAGGCAAUAAAAUAGAAAAACUAUAAAUUCCUGUGAGUAGCAACUGCUGAUCCUAAAUGUAUUUGAAGUUUACGACCAUGAAAGCAGGAGUUCAAGGAACUGCAGUUGCCAUAGGAUUUUAAGGCACAAGUCAGUUGUGUUCAUGUGUUCUAGCAUCUAGCUCACUAUAAUUGAAAUCCAAAAGAAAAAAUUUCAAACUUUUGAGUGGACCUCUGCUUUUACACUCUAGUCUUCAGAAAAUAAGCAUGUUAUUCCAGGAAAUAAUGUGCUUGGUAGUUGGUCUCAGAUUUUUCACAUCAGCAAUAACUGAGACAGAGGUCAAGCUUUAAGUCGCAAAAUCAAGGGAUGAAACUAGAGGCAUGUAUGCAAGGUGUGCAACUGAUUAAAAACCUUUGAAUAAAUAUACGAUGGAAUUUGUAUCAGAUUUAUGUUUCUCAGGUAAGAAAAAGAAAAGUUCAUACCUAAGUCUGCUGCAGCCAUCCUUACAUAAAACUCUUGCCCAUUUUGAGUAAAGUCUCUGAUGUCAAUCAAUUCACCAAACCAGAGCAAGCAUCCGCUUCCUCCUCCUCUGAUAUCUAAAUUUCCAUAAGCAGUGCAAGAGCAGUUCCUCAAGCAGAGGGAAGCACAUUCCUUAAGGUUCAUGCUUUCAUUAAACGAGGAGUUCCGCGUGUCUGGCAGUUUCACACCGGAUAACUUUACAAAUCCGUCCGUCUGACAAUCCAGUGGAGUGCUUCGAACGCAUCCACUUGACCAGUCUGCCAUGUCCCAAUUGAUUUGGAACUUUGGCCUAAAUCCUUUCAUACAGUCACAUGUUUGAGAUUGGGCAGUCUUACAGAUUCCAUAUCCUCCACAUAAUGCAUAAUUGUCACAGUGAUCCCUCUGUGCAGUUGUGUAAAGAGUCCAUUCAUUUUUUUUAUCAGUCCAUGUAGACCUUCGUGAAUAACCAUCAGGAGUUAACACAAGCCUCAUCAUAACAGAGCUGUCAACUAGAGAAUAAGAAAAAUAUAUCUCCUUUUCAUUAGAAACAAAAUGAAAUUUAGUAACUGAGUUUUCUAUUACUUGAGGUAGUCCACUAAAUCCAACUCCAUUCCAUGGUCCAGCACGAAACUCUACAUCUAAACCAUUCCUCAAUAAUAGUUGUGGAAAUCCACUUAGAUCAAUCCCAUAAGUAAAAUUACCUUUAGAAGGGUCAUCAGCACUCGUCCAUGAUGACAGGUACCGAUCCAGGCCUGUUACUCUGUUCCAUCCAAACUUCAUGCCUGGUAGAAGAGUAUCGCCUGGAUAAUCAGAACUCUGCCAUAGGAAGUUUUCUGGGUCACUAUCAUUGCCAUUUCUCAUAACAAGAUUUCCAGAUUCCAAAAGCUGAGCGUUUGGAUCCUGUGCAGAACGUGAUGAAUUAGAAUUCCAAAGAAUUCCAUUAGUACCGUUGACCACAACAAGAAUUCCCUGCUGAGUGACCUUUAAAACUCCUGAUGAAUCAGUUAGUGGACUUUCUCUAUUGGCAACCCAUACCACCGUCCGAGGAGCCACUUUCUUGUACCAUAUCCCCAAGUAUCGAUUCUUGGAAUUACCUGGACUGAAGAAACCCAAUUCAAAGGUCCCACCCGUUGAAGUGAUGGUCUCACCAUCUCUAAUGGGUUGAUUUACAGUUAUGGUGUCUACUGCAGCAGAGAUUCUUAAGAGGGAGAAUACAUAGAAGAAGAUGAAUACAGCUGUUGUAAGAGCAUCCAUUUUUGUUUCUAGAUAAUAAAAAAAUGCCUAAGAUUUCAGAUGCUUUCCAAAUCUCCGUAUAUUUUCCCUUCCCACCUAAGUUUGACAUUGUGUUUGACAUGUAUGACCUAGAGAAGAACAUCACCUCCACAUUCAUACCUAUCAGUAACAUCCAUCGUUGGACUAAUUAUCCAAUGGCCAUCAUCUUCUCCAACAUCCAAAUUUGUUUUUUCUAUACCUCUUAAAAUGGACUGGGUAUUAGUUUAUCCCUUUAAAUCAAAUGUCCCGUAUUACAGCAAUGAAUGACCAAUCUCACUUUUUCUUUAAAGCUAUAUUUGGUUGCUAAAAAGUACUAAAAAAAAUAAAUAAAUAUUAAAAAAAAUAAUUUUCUCAUAUUUAAUUUUUUUUAUAGAAAAAAUAAAAAUAAAUUAAAUAUAAUUAAAAUUAAUUAAAAAUUUAUAUAUCUUAAAAUUAUUUCAUCUUUAUAUAAUGAAAAAAAAAAAUAAGUGAAUGAAAUUAAAGAAAUAUAUAAAAAUAAUUUAUAGAUUUAAAAUUUUUUGUUUUUACUUUUUCUUUUCUUAUAUACUUUUUCUCUAUUUUUUUUUUUUUUUUUUUUCAAAUUUUCUGACAAAUAAACAUAAGGUAAAAGAGUUACAAGCUGAAGUAAAAAGACCAAGAAUAGAAUGAACUGUUGUAGCAACCCGCUUUCCUUUCCAAAGUUUACAGGACAGGUCAGUUAGAACUCACAGCAACAGGUAGGAUUGAAAAUAAAAAAUCAUACAGGGUGUACCUUUCAUGACUUGUCAUGAUUGCUAGGAAGACUUUUGGACUGACUAACUGGCCCAAAAGAUGCCCGCUGGCUACCGCUACUUGGAUUCUCUAUUUUUUUUUUCCCAACAUUGGAACGUAACUUGUUACCAGCAUUGGAUCAAAUUUAUAUGGGUGUAUAGACUAGUGUACACCUUAGAUAUUGGACUGAAAAUAUCUAAGGUAGGAUAUUUUCAUGACUUGUCAUGAUGAGUAGGAAGACUUUUGGACUGACUAACUGACCCAAAAGAUGCCCGCUGGCUACCGUUAUUUGGAUUCUCUAAUUUUUUUUUCCAACAUUGGAACUAUCCUCACGUAACUUGUUACCAGCAUUGGAUCAAAUUUAUAUGGGUGUAUAGACUUGUGUACACCUUAGAUAUCGAAAUCAAGCUUUGAGCAAAGUCACCACAAUAGGUCGGGCCUGCAAGGAAGUUGGCUAUGCUCCAGGUAUAAAAAUCGAAAAGGGUAAGAAAGGCAGUUUGAUUCUCUCCAUCACCCUCCUCUUAAUUAGAGUGUUACAAUUCAAGUCCCUAUAAUUGUAUUAUUCCCAGAGUUUGCUUAGGAACAUGAGCAAUGAGGUGUGACCAAUGAUGAAAAUAUCGAUACUUUAAUUCUACGGAUAUAUAGGAGAUAUAUUGAGGGACGAUAUUUUGAAAAAAAGUAUUAAUAAACCUAAAAUUUAUCAAAAUUCAUAAAAAAUAUAAGAAAAACCUCAUAAAAAAUGUAAUUAAAAGUAUAAUAGACUGUGGAUCCCGCAUUUCGGCUCGAUGCAUUCCCACUCGAUGGAAAAACUCUUUUUUUUCAUUUAUUUGAUGAAAAUUUGAUUUUUAGAAAAAGACUUGGAGUCGUCACUUAUUUUUGUUUUAUUUUUUUAAAGGGAAAACAAAAUAAGAAAAAAAAACUUUAAGUGUGAUUCCUUAUUUGAAAAAAAAAGUCUGUGAAAAACCGAGUCUGGAUUCGAGGAUUAGGUUACUCAUUAGGAAUGUACGGUAAAGACUGUAACACCCCUCUAGGCCCCCUAAAAAUGAGUAUCUACUAAAUAAGAUGAAGCAAGCGUGACAAUUGAUAACGAAAUCAAUGGAUAACAAUAAAAUGAUCGAAUAAUAAAACAAAUUAAGUAUGAGAAUGAAUAAAUAGAUGAAGUAGAAGUAGGAGCGUACCUUAGCAGGAAGUAAUAAUGCGCUAUCAUGGAAACAAGGUUAGCUCAAAUAUAAAAUUAUCACAUGUAUAUCAAAGAUCAGGAUAAAAAUCAAGCAAUAUUAAUUAAGCAUGACAAUCGAUAAUCAGAAGAGAAAACUCAUAUGUAGGGCCUCUACCAAAGCCCAAUUUAUCUUGCAUGAAUUGGUCUCACAAAUUUCAUUAUUUUGAAAUUAUGAAAAAUUCAUUAUUGCUUAUGUAAAAUCAAGAGAAACAGAAAAUUAUUUGAAAACCAGAGUUGAAUUAAAACUGUUCGAAAGAAAAUUGGAUUUUCGAAAUUUAUUUGAAAAUUGGAGUCUCGAAAAUUAUUUGAAAAUUGGAGUCUUGGGAAUUAAAUUUAGGAAUUGGAAUUUCGAAAAUUAAAUUUGAAAGAAAUUCGAAUUUUUAAAAUUAUUUGAGAAUUAGAGUUUUGAAAAUUAAAUUAAGAAAUUGGAACUUUGGAAAUUUAAUUUGAAAUAAAUUAGCAAAAUUAUUUGAGAAUUGGAGUUUUGAAAAUUAGAUUUAAGAAUUGGAAUUUUAGAGAUUAAAUUUGAAAGAAAUUAGAAUUAUGAAAAUUAUUUGAGAAUUGGAGUUAUAAAAAUUGGAAUCUUGGAAAUUAUUGAAGAUGGAAUUUUUAAAAAUAAAUAAAUAAAAUGAUGAUGAUGAUGAUGAUGAUGAUGAUGAUAAUAAUAAAUAAAUAAAUAAAUGUGAAAAUUGGAAUUUUGGAAAUUAAAUUCGGAAAUUGGAAAAUUGGAAUUUUAGAAAUUAAGAAUUAAAUUUGAAGAUCGGAGUUUUGAAGAAUUAUUUAAAGAUGGAAUUUUAAAAAUAAAAUAAUAAAAUAAUAAUAAUAAUAACGAAAAUAAUAAUGAUUAAAUAAAUAAGUGUGGAAAUUGGAAUUUUGGAAUUUGGAAAUUAAAUUUGGAAAUCGAAAUUUUGAAGAUUCAUUUGAAGAUAGAAUUUUUAAAAAUAAAUAAAUAAAUAAACAAAAUAAUAAUAACGAAAAUAAUGAUGAUUAAAUAAAUAAAUGUGAAAAUUGGGGUUUUGGAAAUUGGAUAUUAAAUUCGAAAAUUGGAAAAUUAGAAUUUCAUAAAUUGAGAAUUAAAUUUGAAAAUCAUAAUUUUGAAGAAUUAUUUGAUGAUGAUGAUGAUGAUGAUGAUCAUCAUCAUCAUCAUAAUAAUAAUAUUAAUAAUAAUAAUAAUAAUAAUAAUAAUAAUAAUAAUAAUAAUAAUAAAUGUGAAAAUUGGAAUUUUGAAAAUUAAGUUCGGAAAUUGAAAAAUUGGAAUUUCAAAAUUUGAGAAUUAAAUUUGGAAAUCGGAAUUUUGAAUAAUUAUUUGAUGAUGAUGAUGAUGAUCAUAAUAAUAAUAAUAAUAAUAAUAAUAAUAAAUAAAUAAAUAAAUGUGAAAAUUGGAAUUUUGGAAAUUGGAAAUUAAAUUCGGAAAUUGAAAAAUUGGAAUUUCAUAAAUUGAUAAUUAAAUUUAGGAACCAGAAUUUUGAAGAAUUAUUUGAUGAUAAUAAUAUUAAUAAUAAUAGUAAUAGUAAUAGUAAUGAUAAUAAUAAAUAAAUGUGAAAAUUGGAAUUUUGGAAAUUGGAAAUUAAGUUAAAAAUUUGGAAAAUUGGAAUUUCAAAAAUUGAGAAUUAAAUUUGGAAAUCGGAAUUUUGAAGAAUUAUUUAAAAAUGGAAUUUUUUUAAAAAUAAAUAAAUAAAUAAAUAAUACUAAAAAUAAUAAUAAUGAUUAAAUAAAUAAAUAUGAAAAUUGGAAUUAUGGAAAUUAAUUUUGAAAGAAAUUGCAAUUUUGGAAAUUAAUUGAGAAUUGGAGUUUUGAAAAUUAAAUUUAAGAAUUAUAAUUUUCGAAGAUUAAAGUUUUGAAAAUUAAACUUAAAAAUUGAGGUUUUGAAAAAUUAAAUUUAAAAAAUGAAAUUUUGGGAAUUUAUUUGAAAAUGGAGUCCUUAAAAAAAAUUGAAUUUGGAAAUUGUAAUUUUUGAAAAUUUAAUUUGAAGAUUGAAGUGAUUGAAAAUCCAGAAUUUUUGAAAGUUAAUUUAAAAAAAAAAUGGUGAAACGUGAGUAUAAAGGCUUAAAAAAGGUGUAUGGGCAUAUGUGCCCUAUGGAUGGCCCACCAAAAGUCCUCCAUUGACUUUACAACCAUAAAAUGAUUCCCAAGCAAGAAAAACCAUUAAUGGCUCUGAGAGCCUUCAUUUCAUACAUGUUGCCCCCAUUUUCAACAUACUCAUGAGGAAUAUCAAUAACAAAAGGUCCAGAUGUGCACAAACUAGCUUAUCUAUUGCAGUGCAGAGCCUUGAACUAGAGCGCAUGAAAACAUCGCUUUGAUCAGAUUUUCUGCCACCUCUUCCUCUUCUCCUUCUUCUAUUUUUUUUAUGAAGGCGAGGUUUGGCUAUGAGGUUUGGCGUUCUGAGGUUCGUGUAGCAGCGCUCCAAGCCAUCUCUCUCAUCCACUCUCACUCACUCUCAUUGAUAGAAAACUAGGAAGAUGAUAAAAAGUUGCCACUAAAAUCUAGAUUACCUACUAUCGACUAAAAUUUGAAUAACUCAGCUUAAAUGUCUCCCCUAUAAAUGGAAAUGAAAAGAAAUAGAAGAAACCCAACAACCAUCCUUAAUAAUCAAAAUGAAUCUCAAAUGUCAACAAGUGAUGGAAGAAAAUAAUGCGAAAAUGGAAGAAGAUGAAGUAUACGGGAACUACACCUGGUGGGAUUCGCUUAAGCGCUAAUGCUCGAUUUCCAGUGCUUCGCUACCUUCUCCUCCACAGCACAAGUUCGUUCCCUCUUCAGCUUUCACUCCAACUCCCCAAAAUCCUUCCCAAAAAGCCCCUGAAAAAUCCUCAUUUUCUUUGUUUUUCUCCCAGCUAAAAGUCCCCCCCUCCCCCUCCCCCCAGUCCUGAACCAAAAAUCCCCACCUAGUUCUCUUCCUUUUUCUCUCUCAAUCUUUGUUUUUCUCCUACCUCUUUUUCCAUUUGGUUUUCUUGCUCUGUUUUCAUACUCCACUCUCAAAUUUCAGUCUCUCCCCUUCCUCUCUCUCUCUAUGAAAAGCUCACUCAACUAUAUAUCUUCUUUUUUUUCUCCAAAACCUCUCCAUACCCUCUACAGCUCCUACAGUUUUCCUUUUUCCCGAAAUCUCACUCCCCUCCGAUCAUUUCCUGUAGCUGUCUCUGUAAGUCCCCUCUAGCAGCCCAAAACAGCCCAUUCUCAGUCCCAUCUGGCCGCCCAAAGCAGGCCACACAUAGUCCUCUCUUGCUGCCACAACGCCUCAUCCUCGGGGUGGCAAAAAAAAAAAAAAAAACUCCUAUCCAAGGGGGUCUACAUAGACAUUUUAAAGUUAUUUUGUUAAAGAAUUUGAUAUGUAUAUGAUUUAUUAUAUUUGAUAAUAAUAUUAUAUGCAUCGAUAAAAAAUAUGUAUUUUAUAAGUGUAUAUUUAUUAUUAAAUUACAGCAAAUAUUAUUUCAUAAUAAUAUUGUGAUAUUUUAUUAUAAUAUAUCUAAUUUUAAAAUAUAUUGAAUAUUAAAAUUAAGACCCAUUUAAUUUAAUUAUAUUAAGUGAUAUAAAGUAAAUGAUGAUAUGUAUAUAAUUUUUUAAUAUUUAAUAAUCUAUUAAUAAUAUUAAAAACACUAUGAAGAAAAUUAUGAUAAUAAUUUUUAUAUUUUUUUGUAAUCAAUUAAAUAAAAUAAUUUCCAUUUAAUCAUAUAUUGGUAAAAUAUAAUUACCAAGUGUAGAACCUCAGGCGCUACCAACUCUCCUAAAAGCAAUUGUUGUUAGGAAAUGCGCAUACCCUAACCUUAUAGUGCAUUCACCCAAGUGCCUACGGCGAACACAAGGAGAGUUGAUGGGCGCGGCCAACCCUCCGAUCUGCCAACAAUCUCUCCCCCAGCGACACCCCUGGGGUUCAAACCCGUGACCUCGACUCUGAUACCAAUUGAGAAAACAAAUGUUAUUCUUAAUUAAGAAAAACACCCAAAAUGGGGGGAGAGGGGGUGAAUUGGGUUUUUAAAAUCUUUUCAAUCACAUUCUCCUAAUCGGGUUUUGAUGAUAACAAAUCAUGGUUAAGUGACUAAUUGGUUUAAUGGUUAAGAAUCUCAGGCAUAAACUCGAAAAUUCAUCAAAUAACUAAAUGGAUACAAGAUCGAGAUGCUUGGAAGACUUGUGAUCAUAGGAAACUAAUGUAAGAUGAAUGCAUGAGUGCACUUAGAAUUUUCACACGUUUCAUGCAUCUUAGAAAACUCGGUUUAUUCUUUAAAACUUCGAUUUCAUUAAAACCCGAGUUUUUAACUAAUGUACUUUAGGCAAAAUAUUUUUCUUAAUUAAGUAUAACCUUUGUUUUCUCAUCAAGGAGUAAACUUUCCCUAGGCUACAAAAAUCAAAGGCAAGCAUUUUUUAGCUUGACUAUAGUAGGCGUCAUUUAACUAGACUUGGAGCGCCCUUUUUUCUUUUCUUUUUUUUUAUUGGAGAACUUUGAUUGGAGUAGUUGGAGCUGGUGUCGUUUUUGAGAGGUUUGAAUGGAAUAGGAAGAGUCAAUUUUUUUGGAAAAAACGGUGAUAAAUUGUCAUCUCAAUCGAUUUUCCAAAUAAAUCGCUAAUUAAUCAGCUAUCACCGAAAUUUCAGCGAUUUUUCAUUGAAAUUUAACAAUUUUUUUAUAUAUAUUGCCUCUCCAACAUAUCAACCUCCAUUUUGCUUCACCGAUCACAAAAACCCGAAAUUUCAGAGAAAUUUUACCAAAAAAAAAGAACGAAAUUUUCAUCCCUGGUCAUAACUCCUUUUUAGAAUUGGUUCUUCCUUCCUCCGUUACGUUUGAUAACAACUUCCCUCAUAUUCUCUUUUCUUGCAAGCAAAACUCCACUCAUAUAUUUGUAAGACAUCAAUGUAAAAACAUAGCAUUUUAUUCUCUUGAAUUUUCAUCACUCUUGUGGUAUCGAAGCAGUGGGCUCUCAUGAGCAAUCCAUUUUUUUCAUGUGUCCUUCAAAUAGCCUCAUUGAAAACCAUGGUUGUAAGCACCUCUUCUGUUGUUGUGGAGAAUGUUGGAACUGCCAAUCCCAACAAGUUAAUCUCCAUCAAUACCACUGUAUAAUUGUUGUUGAAACUUUCUCCCAAUAAUUAUCCAUUUUUGUGCAAUUUCACUCCUUACUGCUAUGAUGUGAUCUACUAGGGUAUGUUGAGGGAAUGUUUCAUUAUCCACUGGCAAUCUUUGCAUCACUUUCCUAUGCACACCAUUAUAUCUCUCAUCUCUACUGCCACGAUAUAUAAUUAAGCAUAGAUUGAGUUGGCAACCUUGUGUGUCAAUUGGUUUAAAUUCCGAAUUGUGGAUCUUAAGGACAAGCUUACCUUUGCAAAUAAAUGAGACAAAAUUGUUACUGAGUACAUGCAUAUAGUGCACAAUGGAUGGAUUGGCUGUUGUCAAUGUUUAUAUUAAUAAUGAUGAUCUCCAACUUCAUGUUCUUCGUGAUCUUAGGAAGGAAUGCAAAGAUGUUUGCACUAUAGUUUGAAAUCGUAGAUUCUCAUGACCUUUGAAGAGUUUCAUGAUGCAUUGAUUGAACAUGAAAGCUCCCUUAAAGGAAAAGAAGCUCACUCAAACAACUCAUCUUUCACUACCAAUUACUCUAAAAGAUAAAGGCAACCCAUCAAUCCCUGAUCCAAGGGAUCCUACAACAAAGUUGGUCAAUCUAAAGGCACCAUGAACCCAACUUCUGAUCAUGGGCAUACACAUCAAAACUGCAAUAAGAACCACUUCAAGCCUCAAUCUAAUAUGGUGUGUCAAUUAUGACAAACCUAGUCACAAUGUCAAACACUACUAUUGAAUUUGAGGGUAUUUACUUAAAGCAUCAUAAGCUAAUUAUACCACUUAAAUUAGCAAGUCAUAUCCUUAUAAUUGGUUGACUGACUCCAAGGCAUUGCACAACAUCACCUUCAAUGCCAACAAUUUGGGAACUCAUUCUAAGUUUAAUGGGAAUGAUGAUUGUUAGGAACCCCGGAUUGUUCCAUUCCUUAACCCCAAAUCAUAUAGGGUGCAUGCAUUUAUCCCUAAGGCUCUUUAGAUUUGACAAAAUGGAAAAACAUGAUGUCAAAAACUAAUAUGAUUAAAUCUAGAGAAUGUUGAAAUUAUACCUACAAUCUAGAUGUUCUCAGAUCCAUUCCAAACCAAUGAAGUCCUCAAAACUAUUAUAGAGAUCGUUUAUCCAAUGUUCUUUCACUCAAUCUCUCUUCGCAUAAAUCCAAGCACGAGAAAAGUGUAGGCUUUUCUUUUCUUCCUUAAAGGAGACUAAGGUUUCUCUCUGGUGGUUCUCUGGUAAACAGAAUGACGAAAAAAUUUUAAAGCCCUAACCCUUGAGAGGGUAUUUAUAAGCAUCCCUAUGGGCUUAAGUGACUUGAACUUAAAUUGAGUUUGGGUCACCUAAUCCAGCCCACCUAGGUCCUAAUUAAUGAAUUAGUCAUAUUGAACUUCAAUUAAUUAAUUAGCUCAAUCUAAGAAGUCAAUUUACAAGAUAUAGUGAAACCUUGCACGUACUUUUACUAAAAUGUUUUUAUGUACACUUAUGAACAAGAAAUCCAAAUCCUUUACAUAAAAUGUCUCCAUAAAUUAGGAGCUCGAGCGAGGACCACUACGACCCAUAAGAAAAUACUAGAUCCCUCAAAAUCCAAUCCUGAAGUUGAUUCAACACUGUACUAAGGAGAAUCAAGUGCACUCUAAUAUCUUAUGAAACUACAACAAGAUGAAGUCCGAGUCCAUGACUUACUAUCAAUUGCAUGUGGGUUAUCCGUCAACUAGUGUCUGUAAUCUAAAAAAGUAGUGUUAUCAAAACCUAUCAAGUUGGUUCUCCAAUCUUUGAGUUAUAGAUCAUUCUAUUAUGUGAUCAAUUGAUAUGCUCCAACUUGAAUUAGCAUAUGUUAAAUUCCAUUUAAAGAAUUUUUAUGAUCAUAGUCUUCCUAAUCACAUGUUCUUUUGAUCACUUAAGGGAUACCGUCUCAAUUCCAUGAGAUAUCAUGGUACCUUUAUUAAAAAUAUCUAUUGUCACCAACCUCCAUCAACAAUAAUCCAAUCCAUAUGGAUAUAAAACUACAUUAAGGUCUUACUCAUAGGUCAAAGUCUCCUAUUAAUUUUAGUACAGGUUCAAUAUGCCCUCAAUGUUAAGAUUCCUUUAGUAGCUUGGUGAAUCAUGAUAGUCAAUAGUCUUAUGUCAUGAUUCACUGUAGGUCAUGUCUAAUGUGUAAUCAUACACACAAAUAUACUCACCAUGGGAAAUCAACCUUGACAAUCAAGAUAUGUCAUCCUUUCAAUUAGGAGGUAGUGUAAUAUAGUCUCUACUUAAUUGCCCAAAUCCAUUAAUAGAUUAUAUAUAAACAACUUAUUAUCUUGUAAAAAAACUCAUGACUUGUAUUCUUUAUGCAACUCGUGAUACAUCUAAGUCAUGUACAAUGCAAAUUAUAUGAGUAUAUAUGCUCAAAUAACCAAUUAAUACAUAAAGGACCAUUGAAUAGCAUUCCAUCGUCAAACACGCAAUUGUACAACUAAAACAUUCUUCACAAGUAGUUGUGGCAAUCCACUAGUAUCAAUCUUAUAACAAAAAUUACCUUUGAAAGGGUCAUCAACACUCUUCCAUGAUGGCAACUACCUAUUCAGGCUUGUUACUCUAUUUCUUUGAAACUUCAUGCCUGGUGGAAAAGUAUCGCAUGGAUAUUCAGAACUUUGCCAUUGGAAAUUUUUUAGGUCCCUCUCAUUGCCAUUUUUCAUAACAAGAUUUCUAAAUUCCAAAAGUUGACUAUUUAGAUCCUGUGCAGAAUGUGAUGAAUUAGAAUUCCAAAGAAUUCUAUUAGCAUAAUUGAUAACAACAAGAAUUCCCAAUUGAGUGACCUUUAAAACUCCUAUUGAAUGCUUUAGUGGACUUUCUCUAUUGGUAACCCAUACCACAUGCUUCUAGGCUUUCUUGUAUAAUAUCCCCAAGUAUCGGUUCUUAGACCUACCUAGAUUGAAGAAACCCAGUUCAAAGCUCCCACCAACUAUAGUGAUGAUCUCACCAUCUCUAAUGAGUUGAUUUACAAUUAUGGUGCCUACUACAAUGGAGAUUCUUAAGAGGGAGAAUACAUAGGAAAAGAAAACUACAAACUGUUGUAAGAGCAUAGAUCCAUGGGUGCUUCCCAAGUCUCCUUAUCUUUUCUUUUUGCCUCCACAUCCCUAAGAUUUGGCAUUUCCUUCAAACAUAACAAUCAAUCUCGUUUCCUAUUGGUAGGCCAUAGCUCUAGAUAUCUAUCAAUAUGAAUAGUCAAUUCUUUUCUUUGAAUGUGUAGUCAAUUUUAUUAGGUGGUGUGGUCCCUUGAAUUGAAUAUUUGUUACAUUCAAAUCUUUUCUAUGAUUGCGUAAUCCAUACUAUUAGGUGGUACAAAAAUAACAGUGGGGUCCAUCUAUCAGUGGAUUGAAUGUCUAAAUUUGAUUUUUUAUACCUCUUAAAAUGGACAAGGGAUUAGUUUAUACCUUGAAGGCACCUAUGGACUUUCCUUAUGGCCAAUCUCACCUCUUCUGUAGAAGAAUUACAAGGUGAAGUAAAGACCAAGAACAGAAAGACUGUUUCAGGGAUUCUCUUUCCUUGUCAAGAUUUCCAAGAGAUAAAAAUGCAUACAGGGAAAGUUUAAAUGCUACAAACAGCUUGUAUUAUUAAAUUUUAAUUAAUACUUAUGAAUGGCUUCCAUAAUACUAACCAACAGGCAAAGAUUAAUCAGCUGAAACUGGCCCUCGCUUGUCAGGGUACGAAUGUGGCCCCAACACAUUCCCUUGAGAGAAAAGACCAGGCUCAUUAGGCUGAGGACACGGUUAGGAUUCGAGAAAAUCUAAAAUAUCACCCACAAAAAGAAAAUUUUUUGCAAAUCCACCUAUCAUGUAUGUAGCACUAUUCACCUUCUUGUUCACAGCUAGAAAUGAUACGCGAGAAGAAAAUGUUGGUUCUCCACCAUCUAUAUAACAAUGUCUACAAGUUCAUAGAUUGUCAUCAAAUUUGAAAAGUUCUUUUUGUAGGUCUCAACGUUGUGAGGUCUAUCCUUAUAUGUAAUCACUUUAGUUUCUAAAAAAUUUGUUUUUUUUUUCUUUCUUGUGUAAAGGUUAUCAGGUUCAAAGGAAAAUCAAUAGGGUGAAAGAUGGGGCUGCCAAACAAGAUCAAUUACAAGAAGAAAUCCAUUUAACAAGGAAUCUCAUCUUUAGGACAUGGUGAUUUGAUUUCAAACAGCAAACUUCCUGCACUUGUGGUAGAUAGCAAUAGACUUUGUCAAAUAUUGGAAAAGGCAAUUUUAGAACUUCAAGGUGUUUAGACCCAAGUUGUGGAUCUCUUAGCCCCUAAAGUAACUUCAAUCUCGUUAUCAUAGCUAUGGUACUCCCGAAUCAUUAACUGGAUUGAGGUAAGCUUAUCAAUUUUAUAUUGCUCAUGCAACUAGAGGUGUCCAUUGGGUCGGGCCACCUAUUUUGGCCGUGGCACGGCACGGUAAGGCGGGGCCGGGCCGGUACGGCCCAAAAGGAGCAGGCCGUGCUGGGCCUAAAGGAACAGCCUGCGCGGCCCGCCGUGCCCCGCCUUGUAUCCAACCGUCUGAACAAGAAGGCUGACAAGAAGUCUUCAACCGUCUGAACAAGAUUUUUCCUUGAAAAGAAAAUUUGAGUUCAAAACCCUCGUAAUUUUCUACAUUCAGAAGUGUAUCCAAAGCACACAGAUGUGGAUUAUUGAUUAAAUUUUCUAUUAUAAAGACUCUCUUCUGAGAAAAAAAAAAAAAUCUCUGGAAGUCGUUUUCAGAUACCAUGUUCGGUGCUAACCUCUCAACUACCCCCUCCAUCUUCAAUACUAAAGCUUAACCCCUAAGCCUCUCACUCUCUCUCUAUCUGGAAUCAAGAAUUUCCAGAAAAAAAGGCCCAAAAAGAAAGAAGAUGAAAGAAGAGCAGCAGCACCUCCACCACCAUCACCACCAGCAGAAAAAGAUCAUCACCGCCAAGAAACUCACUCAACCCACGGCGUCUGUCCUUCUCCUCUUGCUAUCAGCUCAGUUCACUCUCCCACCGCCGGGACUGCAUCUAUCCCCACCGCCGCCGGCGCCGCCGUAGCAGAAUCGGACAGCGGCCACUUUGGUGUCACGAGGAGGUGUGGCGACCCAGUUCCCUCAAAGCUCGUUCGGCAAACGAUUCUCGACCGGGUCUUCGGUGGCACUUCGCCGUUCGACUGGUUCCCGCCGCCGCACGUGGCCCACCUCCUCAGGCCGAAGAGAAUCAAGGGGUGGGCCUCGAACGGAGCCGUUUUCGAAAACCUAAUCCGGCGAGUGAAGCCCCGGACAAUAAUCGAGGUGGGGACGGUCUUGGGCGCGUCAGCGAUUCACAUGGCACGACUCGGCCCGACCGGGCCCGACACGAUUAGCCCGCGGACUUAUGGACCGUGUCGAGCCAUCUCUUUUCCUUGCAUGGGCCGGCCCGGCCUGGCACACUUUUUAAGUGGGCCGUGCUAGCCCAGCACGUUGACCCGUAACUCUACAUGCAACGUGUACUACGUAUAUCGUAUGCUAUAUUUUCACCUUCACUAUGCUAAUGAAUCUGCCAACAAUAUAAUUUAGAAACAACAAAAAAAAAUCUAACAAAGUCAUGCUAAGUGAUGCAUACUAAUUAUGUUUUGUCCUGUCACAAGGAUUAAACUGUAAUUUAACCUUAUAAGUUUAGAUUAUUUGCUAGACUCUUAAGAAUUUUUCAAUCUAUUUGUUUUUUUGUGUAUUUUAGAAAUAUAUGUUUUUUUCUUUUCCAAUAUUAAAUGUCUUUAUAUUUUCUUUCUGUUUUGUAUUAUCAAACUCAUGUAUUUUGUAUUAGGUCCUAUUCUUGUAUGAUGGACCACCAAAUAGAUUCAAGCCAUGAGCAUUCAUAGCAAAACGUUGGGUAUUUCUGCAUGCUCAUAUGAAAGGGAGAGGCAGGCAUUUCUGGAUGCUAGUGCGGAUGAGUUUAUUGAGAAACCACUCACUCAAAAGUUGGCCUCUGUUACGAGAGAGAUCCAAAAUGCUUGAAAGAGAGUUGGACCAAUAGAGGACUCUCAAUAUUUGAAGGCAUGUUAUAAAAAAAAUGGUCAUUCACGAUAGACUUAGGUGGUGUUUGUUUUUUUUACUUUUUACUAAAAGCAAUUUGUUUUUAGAAUUUAGGUCAUUUGUUUUUCUACUUUUUUGUAACUUAUUAUAAACUUUUUACUAAAUAGAAAAAAUCAAAAUAUGUAAUUUUUUUUAAUAUAAAAACUAACAUAUUGAUUUUUUUUUACUUUUUAAUACUUAAUAUAAAUAAAAUACUACAAAAACAAACAAUCUAAUAUUUAACACUAUUAAGCAUUAAAGUUCUAUUUAAAAUUAAGUAAAAAAACAAACACUGUCUUAGCCUUCAUUUAAACUUCCCGAGGAUACAAGAAAAAUUACGAAAAUGCUCAUACUUUGAUUAAACCAGGCUGCCUGUCCGGGAGUUUCAUACCAGAUCACUUUACAACCUGUCACUCAUCUGAUGAUCCAGUGGAGUAGUCCUUCCAUACACUCAUAUUUUGAAAGGCUUCAUGAUGACUGAGCUAUUAACAAGUUCAUAAGUAGAUGCAUCUCCAUUUCUUCAAAAAAAGAAGCAUAUGUAUAGACUGGGUUUGGUGUUAAUUGAGGAAACCCUCUAAAUUGAACACCAUUUCAUUGUCAAGAGCAAAAUGUCAUAGCUGAGCGAUUCCUCAGAAUUAGUUGUGGAAAGCCAUUAGGAUCAACCCAAUAUGUGAAAUCACCUUUAAUAGGGUCGACAUCCGUGCUCUUCCAUAUGAUAGGGAACCCAUCCAGACCUGUCACUAUGUUUCUUCCAAAUUUCAUGCCUUGUAGAAGAGUAUUGCAUGGACAAUCAAAACUCUGCCAUGGGAAGUUCUCUGGAUCACUAUCAUUUCCAAUUUUAAUUACAAGAUUUUUAAAUUCCAAAAGCUGAGCAUUUGGACUUUCUGCAGAAUGGAUUAUGCUAUUAGCAACACUUGGGAAAUGGAAAGAGUUCCCUGGUCCAUGACCUUCAAAUUCCCGAUAAAUUGUCUGAGUGGGAAUUGUACCAGUCUCCAUAGAUACUUUCCUGUGUCAUAUCCCCAAGUCUGAAUUUGUGGAAUGAAUUUAUCUGGGCUGAAAAACCCCAGUUUAAAGUUGCCACCUCCUCCAAUGAUUAUCUCACCAUCUAUAAAGGGCUGAUUUACUGUUGACUUAAUAGAACAAGACAAUUUUGGUUGGUGGACCAUGAUCAAUCAAUCAUUUUCCCUGGAUACAUAUUCUAGCAUUAGGUGGCAUGUAUUCCCUUCAAAUAAAUAACAAAAUCAAUCCCAAUUUAUAGCUAGAAUCUACUUAAAUAUCACAUGUCAGCCCCACAAAUUAAUUUAGCACAUUAGUUAUUGUUUGUGGUCAUAUUUUUCUUCUUUUUUUUACUUGAUUCUAACAUGUUAUGAUGGUAAUCUCAUUAAAUUAUUUGAAAGAGAAACUAAAACCCUUUUUUAGAAGCAAUGAAAUAUCACGAAAAGUCCAAAAACAAAGUCAAGAUUUCCCUAAAAGGUGCUAGUAAUAAGCAUUUUUGAAAAGAAUAGCUUUUAUUAUAGGGUCAACUUCUAUUAUUGAACUUAUGUACUAUGAAUAACUAUCAUCAUCCAUACAAAAAGCAGUAAAAAAAUAUUGAUCACCUGAUAACAUCUUAGAUGAAUCAAGGUUAGAGGAGAAGUUACCAAAAGUAAUUUAAGCAUGAAACCUAAGCUUAUAUGGCCACAUGUCUAAAGAUAACAAAACUCCAAUUGAUGAAGCUUCAUCUAUCGAGAUUCCAACAAUGUGAUGGUAGAUUGAGUACCAGAGGAAAAAUUUGCUUCUAUCAUAUUUCUAUCAGUGAAGAAGCAAGGCUCUUUAGGUUGAGGUAAUGCACCCUCACCACCCAACAUCAGAACCACAGAAUGCAUGCUUGGUCGAUCAUCUGGGAAACGUUGCACGCAUAAUAGGCCCAAAUUGAUUGUGCGUAUAACUUCAGAUAGAUUGCAGGUGUUCCCCAUUGAUGCAUCAAGAAAUUCUAAAGACCUAUCUUCUAUAUAGAGUGUCCAUGCCUAAACAAUUGAAAAGAGGAUUAGCACUUCUUUUAUAUAUUGAAAUAAGGAAAUAUUACCUAAUACUUACAUGCCCAAGGAGAUUAAUGUUGCCGUUUGGGUGGUUAAAUCCUCUGUUUCUCUUCCCACUUACAAUCUCUAACACUAAAACACCAAAACUAAAAACAUCGGAUUUUGUGGAAUACAAUCCUUCACUUGCAUACUCUGGAGACAUAUAACCUCUGCAGAAAACCGUUGAAGAAGGGAUUAAAUUCACAACUAAUGAAGAUAAGAGAAUAUACACAUCACUAGAUAUACUUCUUACACUGUUCUAGCUACUGUUGUUGUGUUUGCUUCAGUUUCAUUUCCGUCAAAACUUCUUGCUAUUCCAAAGUCUGAAAUUUUGGGGUUCAUUUCAUUAUCUAGUAAAAUGUUUUCUGCUUUGAGAUCUCUAUGGAUUAUCCUAAGUCUGGAAUCUUGAUGAAGAUAGAGAAGGCCUCGAGCAAUCCCAUUGAUGAUGAGGAAGCGCUUAGGCCAAUCUAGUACCACACUUUGCAUUUGACCUGUCCAUUUUUUUAUCAUUCAAGUUAACCUGUUCUACUUGGAUUGUUGAAUAUAAAUGGAAAAUGUUUCAAGAAAUAAAUGAUUUCAAAUUCAAUGAGAGUUCUUCAAAGCAAUGACAUGUAAAAACAUAAGCGAGUAUGAUUGAAAGUCAUUCUCAAUGAUUAAAGAACACUAUCAAGGGCACACAAAUGGAUAAUAGAUUUUAAUGUUAGGGAUCAAAACCCCUAGUUUUUUAAUACAAGAGCCAAAAGAUUAGAAAAAAUAGAAGAAAGAUUUUCUAAAGAAAUGAAUCUACUAUUUAUCUUGUUUCCAACAAUUUUUCUUGAGGAUUGGUCAAAUCCAUUGUAAAUAAAGAAUUUUCCUAGCAUAUGCAUAGGAAAAGAGAGAGAGAGAGAGAGAGAGAGUCAAUCAAAUAGACAAAGAAACUAAAGAGUGGUUUUAGAGAGCCAAACCAAAAAUAAACAAGUCUAAGCUUUUGUUGGGCAAGUAUUCGUAGAUCAACAUCCUUUCUCUGCCAUGAAUGCAGCAUCCAAAAAGCUUUACAAGAUUUCGAUGUUGAAGUUUUGCAAUGGAUUCAACUUCAUUUUUGAACUCUUCUAAUCCUUGUCUAGAAGUUUUUGACAUCAUCUUCACUGCUAUUUCUUGUCCCUCUUGCAAUAUUCCCUGAAAAUAUUACAUUCUUUUUCUUGUGAAAGCUUUGCAUAUUAAAUUAAACUUGUCAAUAUUCAAAAUGAGGAGUAAAUUGUUGUAGGGUAUACACUUACCUUGUAGACAAGUCCAAAACCACCCUCUCCAAGCUUAUUGUCACUAGAAAAGUUAGUGGUGGCAUUCAAUAAUGUAUCCAAGUCAAAUAAUUGUAGCUCUGGAUGCUUCCGGCCUUCAUUAGUUUCAUCUCCUUCUGAACCGUGUUCCAUGUAUCCUACAAAAUGGAGAAUGGAAUGAAAGAUUAAAGAAUGCAUAAAUCCUCUAUACAGAAAUCAUGAACUUGACCCAUCUCCAAGCCUAGAUCAUUUCAUCAUUUAUCAAAUCAAGCCAAGUUAAUCCCUUUCUCCUUUUUUUUGAGUAAUACAUAAUCAAACAACAUGUGGAAGUACUUCUAACUAAUGAACCUAGUGAUACAAGCACUAUGAUUUGUUACUUGCCUCUUCUCUUUAGCUGCCUCUUCCUCUUCUUCAACACAUACAGGGUCAGAACCAGGCUUAAAAGAACUAUUCCUGUAAUUGAUAUAGAGAUGACAAUGACCUGAUUUUUCUUCUUCUCGGAGCUGCUAUUUAGGCUUGAAAAAGUAUCUUGACACAAAUGGAAAGAAAUUAAGCAAGUAAGCCAGGAAAUAAAAUAGACAAACCAUAAAUUCCUAUGAGUAGUAACUAUUGAUCCAAAAUAUAUUUGUAAUUUACAACCAUGAAAGCAGAGUUCAAGGAACUGCGGUUGCCAUAGGAUUUCAAGGCACAAAUCAGUUGGUGUAUUGGUGUGUUAUAGCAUCUAGCUUACUAUAAUUGAAAUCUAAAAGAAAAAUAUUCUAACUUUUGAGUAGACCUCUGCUUUACACUCUAGUCUUCAGAAAAAUAAGUAUGCUAUUCCAUGAAAUAAUGUUCAUGGUAGUUAGUCUCAGAUUUUUCACAUCAGCAACAAAAAGCUUUGAGUCACAAAAUCAAGGGAUAAAACUAGAGGCAUGUAUGCAAGGUGAACAACUGAUUAAAAACCUUUGAAUAAAUAUACCAUGAAAUUUGCAUCAGAUUUAUGUUUCUCAAGUAAGAAAAAGAAAAGUUCAUACCUAAUUCUGAUGCAGCCAUCCUUACAUAAAACUCUUGCCCAUUUUGAGUGAAGUCUCUGAUGUCAAUCAAGUCACCAAACCAGAGCAAGCAUCCACUUCCUCCUCCUCUGAUAUCUGAAUUUGCAUAAGCAGUGCAAGAGCAGUUCCUUGAGCAGAGAAAAGCACAUUCCUUAAGGUUCAUGCUUUCAUUAAACCAGGAAUUCUGCGUGUCUGGAAGUUUCACACCAGAGUACUUUACAAAUCCAUCACCCUUCUGACAAUCCAGUGGAUUGCUUCGAACACAUCCCUUUGACCAAUCUGCCAUGUCCCAAUUGCUUUGGAACUUUGGCCUAAAUCCUUUCAUACACUCACAUUUUGGAGAUUGGUCAAUCUUGCAGAUUCCAUAUGCUCCACAUAUUGCAUAAUUGUCACAGUCAUCCCUCUGUGCAGUUGAGUAAAGAGUCCAGUCAUAUUUUUUAUCAGUCCAUGUGAACCUUCGUGAAUAACCAUCAGGAGUUAACACAAGCCUCAUAAUAACAGAGCUGUUAACAAGAGAAUAAAUAAUAUAUAUCUCCUUUUCAUUAGAAACAAAAACAAAUGUAUAAACUGAGUUGUUUGUUAAUUGAGGUAUUCCACUAUAUCGAACACCAUUCCAUGGUCCACCACGAAACUUUACAGCUAAACCAUUCCACAAAAAUAGUUGUGGAAACCCACUUAGAUCAAUCCCAUAAGUAAAAUUACCUUUAGAAGGGUCAUCAGCACUCUUCCACGAUGACAGGUACCGAUCCAGGCCUGUUACUCUAUUCCUUCCGAGCUUCAUGCCCGGUAGAAGAGUAUCGCAUGGGUAAUCAAAACUCUGCCAUAGGAAGUUUUCUGGAUCACCAUCAUUACCAUUUCUCAUAACAAGAUUUCCAGACUCCAAAAGCUGAGCUUUUGGAUCCUGUGCAGAACGUGAUGAAGUAGUAUUCCAAAGAAUUCCAUUAGUACCGUUGACCACAACAAGAAUUCCCUGCUGAGUGACCUUUAAAACUCCUGAUGAAUCAGUUAAUGGAUUUUCCCUAUUGCCAACCCAUACUACCGUCCCAGUAGCCAUUUUCUUGUACCAUAUCCCCAAGUAUCGAUUCUUGGAAUUACCUGGACUGAAGAAACCCAGUUCAAAGCUCCCAUCCGCUGAAAUGAUGGUCUCACCAUCUCUAAUGGGUUGAUUUACAGUUAUGGUGUCAACUGCAAUGGAAAAUCUUAAGAGGGAGAAUACAUUGGAGAAGACAAAUACAACUGUUGUAAGAGCAUUCAUAGUUGUUCCUAGAUAAAGAAUGCCUGCGCUUUUAGGUGCUUUCCAAGUCUUCUUAUAUUUUUCUUUCCCUGUAAGAUUUGGCAUAGGCUGCUUCAUACAGCAAAGUCAAUGUAACUUUCCAUUGGUCAUUCAUAGCUCCGGAAAUCAUUUCCUUCCAUUUUUUUUUAUUGGUAUUCGGUGCUGUCUCUUGAGUUAAAUAUAUGAAUGAUUUGUUUGACCAAAUUUUUAAUUUUCUAUACCUCUUAAAAUGGACUAGAGAGUAGUUUAUACAACAAUGUAUGACCAAUCUCACCUCUUCGUUUGAAGCGCAUUACAAGUUGAAGUAAAGACCAAUAACAGAAUGUCCGCUGGAGCAACUCUCUUUCCUUGUCAUAGUUUACAGGACAGAUCAGUCACAACUCAUAUGCAGAGAAUAUUCAUGUAGUCCAGUUUCUAAUUUGGGCCCGACUGACUGGCCCAAAUGACACGCCCGCAGGCUUUUUGGAUUCUCUAGUGUCUCGUUCUUUACCAACUUUGGAACGAUCCCCACGCGGCUCAUUAGACUCACAUUUAUAUGGGUGUAUAGACUUGUCUACACCUUUGAUAUUGAAAUCAACCUUUGAGCGAAGUCAUCGCAGUCGGCCAGACCUGUGUGGAAGUUGAAUAUGCUUCUCCGAGCAUAAAAAUCAAAAAGGGGUAUAAAAAUUGAGAAGGGGACUACUUUGUUGUCUCACGAGUCCCGAGGCUCCCUGAGCAUCGAUGACUUGUUGUAGUGAUUUGUCCCACUCAUAUAUUACGGAAAAGCUUGUAAAUGAGUUUUGAGAUACUUGCAUGGGAGUAUUGAUCAUGGCCUGCACAUUCAAUCAGCUUCUGGAUUCAGUCUCACUAGCUUCUCAGAUGUUGAUUGGAUCAGUUGUGUGGUCCAUCUCUUGGUCCUAAAAUUGUCUCAUGGAGUUCACGUGAGCAAAAGGUCGCUGCAAGGUCCAACACUGAGUCUUGAUACAAAGCAUUGGCUCACGCGGCAGCAGAGGUGACCUGGUUACAAGCUUACUAAAAGAGCUACAAUUCCCUAGUUCUUCGUGUCCCGUAAUCUGGUGUGAUAACAAUAGGGUAGCUUGCAUUACUGCAAAACUAGUUGCACAUGCUCGCACCAAACAAAUGGAAGCAGAUGUCCAUUUUGUACGUGACAAAGUGCUGCAGAAAGAAUUAGACAUUCGGUAUGUACCUACAAAAGAUCAGGUAGCUGACAUACUAACAAAGCCCUUAUCCCUGUUCAACAUCCUUAAGGUCAAGCUCAACGUGAUGGUGUCCCCAUUUCACUUGAGGUAGCAUGUUGACAGAAUGUUUCAGAACAAUAUAAGUUUCGGAGUUAAUUGAGGUUAGCUUUAACAGUUCCACAGUUGGUGGGGGUUAGCUUUCGAAUUAGGUAAAAGAAAGAAUCGGUUAGAGUCUCCAACCAAUUUGUAAUCUUCCCUAUAGAAAGGAAAAGAGAGAAACAAGAAACAGAGGUCUGUUGUAUUUCUCCCAUGCCGUGAUUUUAUCUCCCAUGUUCUGCUCUGUUUUUCAGUCUCAACAUAUUAUCUCCUGUGAAAAACAUCCUAACAGGCCCAGAUUCAAGAGGCAUGUUCAUGCAUUCAUUCUGCAACAUCUUUAACUCUAACUGAAAGCUAAAACAACAAAAUGUUGAAGCUUUAUGUGGACCAGAGCUACACUUCAGAUAAUAGGUGCUUUAUAUAUAAGAAACUCUUUUCCUCUUUGAAGUUUUGUGUCAAAUUUACUUUUCUUAUGUAAGGAACCUAAUUCUGAUUCAGCCAUCCUUAUAUAUAGCUGUUGUCCAUUUUCAGAUAUAUCUACCAAAUCAAAUCACUGAACCAGGCCAAGCAUCCACUUCCUUGUUAAUCUCUGAAUUUGCAUAAGCAGUAUAAGAGCAGAUGCUUGAGCCCCACCCAACCCCCUUGAGGUGAAUUUCAUAUCAGAUUACUCUACAACCUGUCACUCAUCUGAUGAUCUAGUGGAGUAGUCCUUCCACACACUCACAUUUUAAAAGGCCUCAUGAAAACUGAGCUAUUAACAAGCUCAUAUGUAGGCACAUCUCCUUUUCAUCAAAAACAGAAGCAUGUGUGUAAACUGGGUUUGGUGUUAAUUGAGGAAACCCAAUAAAUUGAGCAUCAUUCCACUGUUAGAGCAAAAUGUCAUACCUUAGCGAUUCCUCAGAAUUAGUUGUGGAAAGCCAUUAAGAUCAAGCCAAUAUAUGAAAUCACCUUUAAUUGGGUCAUCCGUGCUCUUUCAUGAGGAUAGGAACCAAUCCAGACCUGUCACUGUGUUUCUUCCAAAUUUCAUGCCUUGUAGAAGAGUAUUGCAGGGAUAAUCAAAACUCUGCCAAGGGAAGUUCUCUGGAUCACUAUCAUCUCCAAUUUUCAUGACAAGAUUUUCAAAUUUCAAAAGCUCAACAUUUGGACCUUCUUCAUUAAUGGAUUGCACUUGGGAAUUGGAAGCUAUUUUUCUUAUUGGAAUGAUAUUUCAUCGUUAUCGUUACAAAGGGUUGGCUCGCCUUUUAUAUAGUAGUGUUCGUUGACUUUCUGAGUCAGUCAUGGUGGUGCUUGCAACCUUUUUACUAGAUUCCAUAUCAGGAGGCACAGGUUUUGUCAGUGCGGACAUCCCAGUGAUCAGGUGGAGGUUCGUGGAGGUGGAUGGUACCUAAGGAAUGUCUCUUCUCUUAAUGUAAGGUUGAAAUGGGCUGUGUUCCUCAAGGAGUACUUAGUACAUACCUAUUUUUGGUUAUCACCAGGAAUGGAUAGAGUUCCCUGGUCCAUGACCUUUAAAAUUGCCGUUGAAUUAGCUGAGAGGGAAUUAUACCAGUCUCCAUAGACACUUUCCUGUAUCAUAUCCCUAAGUCUGAAUUUGUGGAAUUGCCUGGGCUGAAAAACCCCGGUUUAAAGCUGACAACAGCUCCAGUGAUUACCUCACUAUCUACAAGGAGUUGAUUUACUGUUGACUAACAUAGAACAAGACAAUUUGGUUGGUUGGCCAUGAUCAAUCGAUCAUUUUUCCUGGAUGUGUAUUCUAGCACUAAGUGGCAUAUAUGGCCUUCAAAUAAAUAAAUAAAAAUCAAUCCCAAUUUGCAGCAAGAAUCUAUGUAAAUCUCACAUGUCAGCCCCACAAAAUAAUUAAGCACAUUAGUUAUUGUUUCUGGUUUCACUGUGAUUUAUGUGAAUUGUUUAUAUACAUAACCUCUUGUUCUUGAUGCUAAAAUGUUAAAAAGGUCAUAAAUUUCCUCCUUUUUUUAUUACUUUACUUGAUUCUGACAUAUUAAAAUAGUAAUCUAAUUAAAUCAUUCAAGAGAGAAACAAAAACCCUUCUUAGAAGAAAUGAAAGAUCAGCCGAAGACCAAAAACAGAGUCAAGGUUUCCCCUACAACGCGUAAGUAAUUAGUAUUUUUGAAAAGAAUAGUUUUCAUUAUAUGGUCAACUUCUAUUAUUGAACUUAUAUGCUACGAAUAACUAUUAUCAUCCAUACAAAAAGCAGCAGCAAAAACCAAUCACCUGAUAACAUCUUAAAUGAGUCUUUUGUUGGAAACUAAGUAGUGUGGUUGAGAAAAGUUGCCAAAAGUAGUUGAAGUCACAGGUCUAAAGACAACAAAACCUCAACAUGAAGCAUCUUCUAUCGAGCUUCCAACAGUGUGAUGGUAGGUUGAGUACCAGAGGAAGAAUUUGCUUCCAUCAUAUUCUUAUCAGUGAAGAAACAAGGCUCUUUAGGCUGAGGUAGUGCACCCUCACCACCCAACAUCAGAACCACAUAAUGCAUGCUUGGUCGAUCCUCUGGGAAACGUUGCACACAUAAUAGACCCAAAUUGAUUGAACGCAGCACUUCAGAUAGAUUGCAAAUGUUCCCCAUUGAUGCAUCAAUAAAUUCGGAAGACCGAUCUUCUAUAAAGAGUGUCCAUGCCUAGAUAGUUUAAAGAAGGAUCAGCACUACUUUUAUAUAUUGAAAUAAGGAAAUAUUACUUAAUACUUACAUGCCCAAGAAGAUUAAG
rnacentral:lncRNA from 1 species